AUCUAGACCCACCAUCUGCUCAUGUUGGUAAAGUGAAACAGCCUGCAGGAUUGACUUUACCUAGCAGAAUUCAUUCUGCAGAAAUUCAACAGAAUAAGUGAUCAUUUUCCCCGACCACUUGACUGCUGCUUUGAAUAUGUAAUGUGGCUACACAUGUAUAUUAUUUAUGAAACAUUGAUUGCUGUAACAUCUCAAUAUUCCUUUCAUGCCCUGUGAAUGUGGACUUAAUACAUUUCCUCUGAAACCCACGGCUGUCCUGGAGUACGUGACAAUGCCUUGGAGAGGCGAAUAGAUUUAUUGGUUUGGGCAGCCUGUCCUCUUUGCGGAAAUUAGGGGAUUCCUGCACACAGUCUGCUCUCGCCUGCAUGUCAGGAAUUUCAGCUGGUGUGGGACAUGAUGACUGUGCUGGCCCAUAGGGCAGCCCCCAGUAAAUUCAGAAGACAACAUAGACCAGCAUUUCAACCGCAUUUCUCUAAGGACCAUGGUCUAAAAACCACGCCCCAUGGGGGAGACCCGAGAUGCAGGGAUGAACACUUUCUCCAGCUCCAAUUCUCACAUGAGCCCUGGGGGAUUCAAGAGGAAAUGAUCUGCAGGCAGGAGUGAGAAUCAGGACAGGAGAACAGUUUGAGGACACAGAGCACUGGUGUCCUGGUGAACAACAUCUGGUCAAAUGCUUUGCCAACAAGAACCUUCUGAAGAGUAAUGCUGGUGAUGGAUGUAUGAGAGAUUGAUGAAUCUUGAAUAAGAUGCACAGGAGGUAAAAGGAAAAACAAAACAAAAUUAAGAAACUGCCACAAGGGAGCUGUCCUCCGCACCUCCACCACAAUGGCAGGUGCAGCAGCGAAGCCAGCAAGGAGUCCCUGUCUGCAGCGGAGCAGGGUCUGGUCAGCGACUUGUGGCUGCCUCUGUCUGAAGGUCUGGCUACUCGAGGAGCUCUAGAGGAAGAGGAGGUAGUCCAGGAUCAAGUCAAGCAUUCCUCACUGCUGGCCCAGGCAUGAAGUAGCUCACACUUUUGCAGGCUGGAAAAAGUGGAUUUGGGCUGUGCACAUCCCUGCUACCCAAAGCGUGGCCAGAGGGGCAGCUCCUGGAUCACCUGGGAGCCCCUUAGAAAUCAGUCUCUGGUAGAGCCCCAGACCUGAUGACCAGAAAUGUAUCUGUUACUCAGGUCCCCAGGUGCUUUAUAUGUACAUGACAGUUUGAGAGACAGGGCACCGGCCACAGCUUCUGGCUCUGCUCUGGAUUUUGGAGA
rnacentral:lncRNA from 13 species